rnacentral:rRNA from 1 species
GGGGGAGCAUAUCAUGCAGUCGAGCGAACCACUUCGGUGGGAAGCGGCGAACGGGUGAGUAACACGUAGGUGAUCUGCCCAUCAGACGGGGACAACGAUAGGAAACGAUCGCUAAUACCGGAUAGGACGAAAGUUUAAAGAUGCUCCUGGCAUCACUGAUGGAUGAGCCUGCGGCGCAUUAGCUAGUUGGUGGGGUAAAGGCCUACCAAGGCGACGAUGCGUAGCCGACCUGAGAGGGUGAACGGCCACACUGGGACUGAGACACGGCCCAGACUCCCACGGGAGGCAGCAGUAGGGAAUCUUCGGCAAUGGGCGAAAGCCUGACCGAGCAACGCCGCGUGAAUGAAGAAGGCCUUCGGGUUGUAAAAUUCUGUUAUAAGGGAAGAAAGGUGAUAGUAGGAAAUGACUAUCAAUUGACGGUACCUUAUGAGAAAGCCACGGCUAACUACGUGCCAGCAGCCGCGGUAAUACGUAGGUGGCAAGCGUUAUCCGGAAUUAUUGGGCGUAAAGAGCGCGCAGGUGGUUAAUUAAGUCUGAUGUGAAAGCCCACGGCUUAACCGUGGAGGGUCAUUGGAAACUGGUUGACUUGAGUGCAGAAGAGGGAAGUGGAAUUCCAUGUGUAGCGGUGAAAUGCGUAGAGAUAUGGAGGAACACCAGUGGCGAAGGCGGCUUCCUGGUCUGCAACUGACACUGAGGCGCGAAAGCGUGGGGAGCAAACAGGAUUAGAUACCCUGGUAGUCCACGCCGUA